GUUAGGAAGCAAUAUUUUACAAUUUAAAUAAUUUUUACUGUAGUAAAGUGUAACAUUGAAUCUGUUAUAAAUCGCUGAAUGUUUAGAUCCAGAAUAUUUUUUUUCGAACGACUGACAAAUUAUAUAAACUUACUUAGAUUGGACUUCGCUUCUGUUUGCGAAUAAUUUACGCACGAUAUUUCGCAACACACACUCGAAAGGGUGAAAAACCUAUCUUCGAAGCGAUUACUUUUCUAUAAAAUUCAGCUCUAUAAAGGAUACUCGCAAUUGAGUUACUAGUUACACACUGGAAUCAUUUAUUUCUAUCUGAGUUUUGUGGUUUGAUAGCCAGUACAAUUCUGUUGUACUUAUUUUUAAUUACAAUAACAUCGUCUUCUUUCUCUCUCGGUCGACCAUUCGAAUAUCAACACUAACAAAAUCCCAAGAAAUAGCGUGUUGAGGAAGAUAUUAUAGCUGAUACUUCUCUCUUGUAAGAAAUACGGAUGAUUUUGUUUGUUUGACUUUUCUGAGAUAACAAAAACACUGUGAAGAACAGCAAAGAAAACGACUAUCAACGUCAAAUAAGAGUAGUCACUUUUCUCAUAGUGCUGCUUUAUUUGAUUGUUCUCGCUCAACCUUUUAUCUUUAUCUAUUUACUUCAAUAUUCCAACAUUCGAGUUGUUUCAUCCGAUAUAGAAGAGCGCAUUAUCAAGUCUGAGAAAACUAACGGUAACGUCAAUUAUAACCCUACACCUCACCAAGUUGAAAAAAGGGAAAUUUCGUCUGUAGUCGAAAAAGAAUGUGGAAAUAAUUGUCUUCUUCAAUCUAAAAUAUGCGAAAAAGACGACGAUUCAGUUACGCUGAAUGGAAAGUGUAAUAUAAAAAAAUCUGAUCUCUGCGAGUAUUGUUUUACCGCCGAAGACAUUUGUAAAAGAAAUAUAACAGAAUUAAAAGG